AUGGGGAUGGUCAUCCACGGUCUUGACAAUGGAGAUCCGGAACUAUUUUGUGCAGCUUGCGUGAAUCCAGAGGAAUCUUUCCCUAAUUCUGAUGGCAGUGUAGUCGGUGUCCAGUGUGAUGUGCAGCUGGUGGAGGCUGGAGGAGACCUGGUGCAGCCUGGGGGGUCCCUGAGACUCACCUGUGUAGCCUCUGGAUUCACCUUCAGUAGCUAUGGAAUGAGCUGGGUUCGCCAGGCUCCAGGAAAGGGGCUGCAGUGGCUCGCAUAUAUUUAUGAUGAUGGAAGUAGCACAAGCUACGCAGACUCCAUGAAGGGCCGAUUCCCCAUCUCCGGAGAACUCCAAGAACACGCUGUAUCUGCAGAUGAACAACCUGCGGGCGAGGACAAGGCCACAUAUUACUGUGCAAGAGACAAGGAGCAGGUGUAG